ACUAGGGCAGAGGCAGCUGCUGAUGCCUUUCCUCCGGGACACCAAGCUCAGCCUUGCUUCAUCUCAACGCUGCAAGCUGUAACUCCUCAGGUGCUGCAAAUGGAGCUCCCUGUGCAGAGCAGAAGAGGUUAACAGAUGAACAUCCUGGAUUGCACUAUGUGUUUCAAGAUGAUCCUGACAAUUACUGGCAUAAGGAACCACAAUCUGGCUUCAGAGUCAUUUUGGAUACCUCUUCCCACAGAGGGGUGGUCUGGCUCCAUGCAGGCUCUGCACUGUCUCCAACCCAACUUUGGGCUCUCCUGGCCAGCUCCAGAGCUGCCUGUCUGCAGUUCCCAGCCUGAGCAAACCCCUCGUUUGCUCCUCAUUGCAGCAUUCUUGCAAGAUGAACACACCUGUACUCUAACUGCUGGUCAUUUAGCAAACGACCUCAUUUAGAAACUAACCCCCUCAGUCCAAUUAUCCUUCUUCAGCCAUGUGUCCUUAUGUAGCAGCAUUGCUCAUUUAUAUGCUAAUUUUCCUAAGUCUACUUCAAAGGGGAGAAUUGUUUGUUAAAAAUCCUAUGCUCUAGCCUCAGUUCAGACCAUCUCAUUAUUUACCUGCAAAUUUAGGGAGAUAUGGGUAGAAGCUCUGUUCUUUUAUGAUCUAUUGUCUAGGUGAUCAAAGGAAACCAUUCAAUAUGAAGAUCAAAAAGAGUCUGGCUCCCAGCAGCCUGGCAGCUGGCUCUACCAACUCCCUAGUCCACAACCUCUGUUAUAAGUAAUGACUGAUUUUACUAUUAAAUAACUUUUGAUUACAAAUUGCAGGGAAAAAAUACCCUUCACAGUCACAUCUCUUUACUGAGGUGUUAAUGAAACUAGGCUUCAUAUCAAUAUUAUCUCAAUUAUUAGUCAAGGAAUAAUCAGUAUGUAUAUAGUUGUCUCUAUUAAUAAUCCUCAGAUAAUGAAAAAUAUCCCACAGACAUAACUAAUGCUGCUUGACAAAUUGCUCGUGGCCCACAACUAACCCAGAUUUUGUUUCUUAUAUAGAUAUACUGCUCAAAGGAUUUUUAAGCCAGGAACUCGGACACAAAACUGUUUACUGUUUAGAGAAGCCAAAAGCAGUGGCUGUAGGUUGAACUAUCAAACUGGGACACCUCGUGUCCCAGUCGGUUAGGGAAUUAUGUCAACCGAUUAACACAAUGUGAAUAAUGAACCCAGGCUUUUCAGGGCUGACAUAAUUCCUCAACCUAAGAAAUUUCAAGAGCCAUGACUUGUAGAAAUCCUAUUCUUGCAGAAAUGAUAACCCAUGGAAUUUUUUAGCCUUACCACAGAUAAAUGUUAGAUGGAGUGCAGCUUUUCUUAGAAAAAUAACAUGAGGAAUAAAAAAGUAUAUACGUCUGGGCUUUAUUCUUUUCUUUCAAGCUGACACUGUUAUUCAGUAUGGUAUGUCUUUUUUCCACACCACAAAUGGCAAUAAAGAAGAGGCUGGGAAGUGAAGUGUGUUUGUGGGAUCUGU